rnacentral:rRNA from 1 species
ACAUGCAGUCGAGCGGACAGAAGGGAGCUUGCUCCCGGAUGUUAGCGGCGGACGGGUGAGUAACACGUGGGUAACCUGCCUGUAAGACUGGGAUAACUCCGGGAAACCGGAGCUAAUACCGGAUAGUUCCUUGAACCGCAUGGUUCAAGGAUGAAAGACGGUUUCGGCUGUCACUUACAGAUGGACCCGCGGCGCAUUAGCUAGUUGGUGGGGUAAUGGCUCACCAAGGCGACGAUGCGUAGCCGACCUGAGAGGGUGAUCGGCCACACUGGGACUGAGACACGGCCCAGACUCCUACGGGAGGCAGCAGUAGGGAAUCUUCCGCAAUGGACGAAAGUCUGACGGAGCAACGCCGCGUGAGUGAUGAAGGUUUUCGGAUCGUAAAGCUCUGUUGUUAGGGAAGAACAAGUGCGAGAGUAACUGCUCGCACCUUGACGGUACCUAACCAGAAAGCCACGGCUAACUACGUGCCAGCAGCCGCGGUAAUACGUAGGUGGCAAGCGUUGUCCGGAAUUAUUGGGCGUAAAGGGCUCGCAGGCGGUUUCUUAAGUCUGAUGUGAAAGCCCCCGGCUCAACCGGGGAGGGUCAUUGGAAACUGGGAAACUUGAGUGCAGAAGAGGAGAGUGGAAUUCCACGUGUAGCGGUGAAAUGCGUAGAGAUGUGGAGGAACACCAGUGGCGAAGGCGACUCUCUGGUCUGUAACUGACGCUGAGGAGCGAAAGCGUGGGGAGCGAACAGGAUUAGAUACCCUGGUAGU